rnacentral:rRNA from 1 species
CCCUUAGAUGUUCUGGGCCGCACGCGCGCUACACUGAUGCAUUCAACGAGCCUAGCCUUGACCGAGAGGUCCGGGUAAUCUUUGAAACUGCAUCGUGAUGGGGCUAGGUUAUUGCAAUUAUUAAUCUUCAACGAGGAAUGCCUAGUAAGCGUGAUUCAUCAAGUCGCGUUGAUUACGUCCCUGCCCUUUGUACACACCGCCCGUCGCUCCUACCGAUUGAGUGUGUUGGUGAGGAGUUUGGAUUGGCCUCGGAAGGUGGUUCGCCACCGUCCGUAGCUGAGAAGUUCUCCAAACCGCCCCACUUAGAGGAAGGAGAAGUCGUAACA